rnacentral:rRNA from 1 species
UACGUAGGGUGCAAGCGUUAAUCGGAAUUACUGGGCGUAAAGCGUGCGCAGGCGGCUUUGCAAGACAGAUGUGAAAUCCCCGGGCUCAACCUGGGAACUGCAUUUGUGACUGCAUGGCUGGAGUGCGGCAGAGGGGGAUGGAAUUCCGCGUGUAGCAGUGAAAUGCGUAGAUAUGCGGAGGAACACCGAUGGCGAAGGCAAUCCCCUGGGCCUGCACUGACACUCAUGCACGAAAGCGUGGGGAGCAAACAGG